GAACCCUUGGCGCAGCGGUAGCGCGUGUGAUUCCAGAUCCACAAGGUCGUCCGUUCAAUCCGGGCAGGGUUCA
rnacentral:tRNA from 1 species